GUGUCAGCCGCCGCGGUAAAACGUAGGACACGAGCGUUAUCCGGAGUUACUGGGCGUAAAGGGCGUGCAGGCGGUUGGGUAAGACUGAUGUGAAAGCGCCCGGCUUAACCGGGCGAGGACAUUGGUGACUGCGCGACUAGAGGCAGAUAGAGGGGUGUAGAAUUCCGGGUGUAGUGGUGAAAUGCGUAGAGAUCCGGAGGAAUACCAGAGGCGAAGGCGGCACCCUGGGUCUGACCUGACGCUGAGACGCGACAGCAUGGGGAGCGAACGGGAUUAGAUACCCCAGUAGUCC
rnacentral:rRNA from 1 species